AUUUACUUAGUUUAAUUAAAACAAUUUACUUUCACUAAAUUAAAGACUCAAAGUCAGUGAAUU
rnacentral:tRNA from 1 species